GGAGGAAGAAGACCUGUUGGCAAGACAGGAGGAGACAGUUAAAAACAUGCAAGAAUUCCAUAGAUGAGUUGUUGUUAUGAAUUAUUCAGAAUCCAUGGGAAAAUUUAAAGCCCAUUGAUUUUGAAUGAAGGACCUACUUAGCAUGGAUCAAAAACCUAUUUUGGAGAAAGAAACCAAGUCUUGAGGACUAAUUCAAUUACCAAAUCUCUGGGAAGCACUGAGGCUUUUUUAGUAGCUUCCCAAUUAGUGCAUAAGGUGGCAAUGCUAUUUGCUUUUAUGUAAGCUCUUCUUCUUCUAGUACCAAGGAAAAUUCUAUAAUCCUAAAUCUCCAUUCUCCAUGUACAGAUGUUUUCUUCGAUGCAUGCUGUCAGAGAAGAUGAGUAAGCUUCAGAAUAUUAGUUUACUGAUUCGAGGAUGUAAAUCCAGUCGGGUCAUUUAAUCAAAAACAUUUAUAAAACCUAUGCCCUCAUACUAGUGUAGCAAAGCUACUAUAGUAUAGUGGCUCUAGGGUCAAACUCUAGGAUGGGUUUUCAUUCUACCAGUGAUAUACUCAUGAUUAGGAAUUGAAUUUAAUGAUUUCCUUUAUCAAAAACAUAGAGUUUAAAAGAAAAUAAAAUUUGUUUUGAAAGUGUUUGAAACUAAAUUAACAUAAACUAAUUAAAAAUGGAAGAAAGAAAGUCUCCCGGAGCUCAGGAUUGCUAGGAUCAAGUUUAGAAUGCAAAGUGGAAAAUUCUGGAUUUUUCUCCUCGCAUUGAGGAUUUAACCUAUAGUUAUUUCCUGAACCGGUAUAGGUUUAACAAUGAAGAUUUAAUCCAUAAAAAUCAAUAGAAAUGGUAGUCAAGGUUCAUUAAUGGCUUUAGACACUAUGGGUCUUCACCUUGAACCACUUUCCAAUGGCUCGUACAUGAUAACUAAUGGACUGAUAUGGAUCUAGUAAUAAGCAUCCACAGAGACCUGAAGCUUACCAUGUAUUGGCCAUUCAAAGUGAUUCUAAGGGAUUUAAAGCAAAACUUUGGAUUUAAAAGCCAUUUAUGAACUUCAACUACCUGUAUUUAAGGCACGAGCGUUUUCCACCUUGCAUCUGGACUUUUCACCUAACUUCCAUCACUCCAAGAAACCAAAAGUUUAGCCUCUCAUCCUCUGAGAAAACAUCCUCAGAGAAAACAUCCUCAGAGGUUGUUUGGCUUCCAAGAAAAAGAAAAUAGUAAAGAGAAAAGGGAAAACGAGAGAGCUCUGUAUAUUUUUCUAAGUGUAAAACAUAACACGCGUGAUACCUCCAAGAGGUGAUUUCCACCCCUUAUAUAGUUUUUACAAAAGCAAAGCUUGUGAUUGGCUUGUUACAAGGAGAAGAAAGGAAAUUACAUCAAAAAAUACAAAAGAAAAUAUCUAAAGUGGAAUCGGCAAAAACAGAGGAAAAUUCGCACCACGCAUGGGGUGUGCGAAUUUUCGCACACCUGAGGGGGGUGUGCGAGUUUCGCACACCAUUCGCACAGCUAAGGGGGUGUGCGAAUUUCGCACACCAUUGGCACACCAUUCGCACACCUGGAGCAGUUGUCUUCCGAAGGCCAUAUCUUCCUCGUUUCAGCUCCAAAUCGUACACGGUUUAAAGCGUUGGAUUCUUGACUUCCUGAUCUUUGAAAUGGUAUAUAGCAUGUAAAAAAUGGACUUCGGGAAGUGCUCCAAAAGUGCCAAAGAAGACUGCAGCUGAUGUCCUCUGUUUUCCUCCUUGCUUCUCUUUGCUUCUCUUUGGUUUUCUUUGCUUUUCUCCUUUGGAUGGCUUGUCUUAAUGAUCUAAAAAGAUGUCAAAAACACUAAAACUAGCCACAAAUAUGAUUAGGAGUCAUUGCUAGGUCCUUAACAUGCCAAUUGGAAUAAAGAUGAAGAAUUACUAACCAAAAGUGCUUAAAACAUAAUGACUUAAAGGUGUGAAAUAGCACUUUUUGGGUAGUAAUCACUCCCCCCAACUGACACAUUGCUAGUCCCUGAGCAAUGAAGGAGAGAAAAAGAAAGAAAAAUAGAUAAUAAAAUAAUUUACAAAAUCAUGCUGAUCACUCCAAAAAAUAAUCAAGUGGCAUGAUUGGAUCAAACUCUCACAUGGCAAGUCAAGGAUAUAAAACUCAAUCAUCAACAAGAGUUAUCAAAUAACUUACCUAUCACAACUUGCUAAGAGCGGACAUUAUGCAAAUUUGAGUAUCAAAAUAAUUUCCACUCCCAACGGAUCAAUUCUUAAUCUUCCACAAAAAUCUAAGUGUUAAGGUGCUUAGUUUCCAGUUAUAGUAUGUCAAACUAUAUUCUUCCCCCCAACUAAGGUUUUUCUCUAACUUUAGCAACACUAACUCAUAUAUAAAAGGCUAAGAACACACCUUUUUUUUUUUUUUUUUAAAGGGACUCCACCCAUCCACCCAUGUAACGAGCAGUGAGGUCGGUGACUCCCAACCAGUAAAGGCUUAGGGCACCAGGCUUUAAAGAUUUUCACCAUAUACCCCUCGGACCUUGCUCGGGUUUCAAAGCAAGUGAAGCAAAAAUUAUUCAUAAGACACAUUGGCCUUUUAUAAGGUGUCCCAACACUAAUAGAAUGAAGUCAAUGGCACCAAGUCGAAAAUUUCCUAAGUUUAGGGGGGUGAGAAAGUUUUCCAUCUUAUAACUGGAAUCUAAUGUGUUCAGUGUGUGAAAAGAUUAGAGUGGAAGACUUAAGAUUGAAAUCAAAAGGAUCUUCAACAAUUUAUCAACUUAAAUAAGCAUAAUACAAACUCUGAGACUAUGGCAAUAAGAUAAGAAUUUAAUUUCUCCCAUUUACUUUUGAGAAUUUAUCUUUGAGAAAACAAAAAGAGUUUGCAAAAAAAUUUGUUAGCAAAAUAACUUAACCAAAAAUUCAACAAAUUACUUCCUCAACUCUCCCCCCAACUAGGAUGAACAUUGUCCCCAAUGUUCCAAAAGCAAGAGAUAAUAAAAGGGAGGAAGUGAUACCUCCUGAUAGUAAGGAAGUCUCGACAUGAAAGUCUCUCGAUCGGCAAUCGGAGUUGCCCUCAAUGGGCAAGCUGGGUCUAGGGCGCCUGGCGGAAGAAGGCUGAGACUGUGAAUCCUGAGGUGCUCUAGAGGACUCUCCUGGCUCUGAAGUCUUGGCUUUCUUUGUAGGGGGGGUGUGCGAGUUUCGUAGACCUCAAGGGGGUGUGCGAAAUUUUCGCAUAGGGUACUAUUCACCCGCGCGUUUGAAAAAUUGUGGCUUGUUUGAGAUGGUGAAAAUUUGUGGCCUUUGAGGGUGGGAAAAGCUGGCUUAGGUAUGAAAAAGAUUUGUCAUGGUGAAUAGGCUUGGAAAUUGGAGCUUUUCAAGAGGAAAAUUGAAGAUUGGGAGCUCCCAUGGCCGGCGGCAAUGGGUUUCUUAUGAAGAAACCAUGGCUUGAAUGCUUAUGGUUUAGGCUUUGGUUUGGUAAGAACAAGGUUGGGAUUGGAUUGUGGAUGGAUUUAGAGGGUUGGGUGAAGAUUUGAAAGGAUUUUGAUGGUGGAAAGAGGUGAAAUUGCCGAAAAUGGGAAGUGGUGAAUAGUGAAUGCGCGGCUAUGGAAUGGAGCUAUGGAGAUGGGCUGCCAUGGUGGUGUUGAUGAUGAGGAAUGAUGAAGAAGAGAGGCUUUAUGGAUGGAAAUGGGUGAUCGGAAGAGAGGUUUUAAGAGAAUUGAAGAAGAAGUUAAGACUUUGAAGUGGAGAACAUAGCUUUUAAAGAGAAAAAUGAAUUUCGCACAGGGGAAAAUGGUGUGCGAAAUUUUCGCAUACCUGUGAUUCUCCAAGACAGAGAGCAUGGUUUUGAAAAUUGGCGCAAAAAAUGAAUUCGCACAAGGUUCGCACAAGGUUCGCAUUCCUGUGAAAUUCGCACAANNNNNNNNNNNNNNNNNNNNNNNNNNNNNNNNNNNNNNNNNNNNNNNNNNNNNNNNNNNNNNNNNNNNNNNNNNNNNNNNNNNNNNNNNNNNNNNNNNNNAAAAAAUAGAAAUCAAACCACAUUAGAAUGAAAUUAAAGUCAAAAAUAGAAAUCAAAACAUGCAUAAACACAAGAAAACAUUAGAUUAAACUAAAAUCAACUUAAAAGAGAACAAAAAGAGGAUAAACUUUUUAGUCUUUGGAGAGACUAAGUUCAACCAUGAACCAAGUGUUUUCAUGUUGGAGGUGGAUCAAGGAGGAUGAAUUCCUCCUUGUCUCGGGAAAAAGAUUCGAUAUAGGGCUUGAGACGAUGCCCAUUAACUUUGAAAGUUCGAGUGCUAUUGAAGUUGAGUAGUUCCACUACUCCAUUUGGUUGCACUUCAUGAAUUAUGAAAGGACCCGUCCAUCUUGAUUUCAAUUUUCCCGGAAAAAGAUGAAGCUUAGAGUUAUAAAGCAAGACUCUUUGCCCCUUGGCAAAAUUCUUCUGAUUUACCAAUUGAUCAUGCCAUUUCUUCAACCUCUCCUUUGCAAUUUUUGAAUUGAGGUAAGCAUCAUUCCUCAUUUCCUCCAAUUCAUUCAAAUCCAAACAUCUUUUCAACCCGGCUCUUGUCAAAUCCAUGUUGAGUUUUUUGAUUGCCCACCAUGCUUUGUAUUCAAUCUCCACUGGAAGAUGGCACGCUUUGCCAUAAACAAGGCAAUAAGGAGACAUUCCAAGAAUGGUCUUGUAAGCGGUCCUAUACGCCCAUAAGGAAUCUAGGAGCUUAAUAGACCAAUCCUUCUUAUUCACAUUCACCACCUUCAUUAAUAUAUUCUUGAUCUCCCGAUUGGCUAACUCAACUUGGCCACUUGUUUGAGGGUGAUAAGGUGUAGCUACCUUGUGCUUAACCCCAUAUUUGGCUAGAAGAGUCUCAAAAGGUUUAUUGCAAAAGUGGGUUCCUCCAUCACUUAUAAUGGCCUUAGGCACUCCAAAUCUUGCAAAGAUGUUAUCCUUGAGGAAUUUAAGAACCACCCUAUGAUCAUUGCUCCUACAUGGGAUUGAUUCAACCCACUUAGAGACAUAAUCCACUUCCACCAAAAUGAAGGAAUGUCCAAAUGACAUUGGAAAUGGUCCCAUGAAGUCUAUCCCCCAAACAUCAAAGACAUCCACUAUCAAAAUGGGGUUCAAGGGCAUCAUAUUUCGGCGUGUAAGCUUACCAAGCCUUUGACACCGAUCACAUCCCUUGCACAUAGAGUAGGCAUCCUUGAAAAGAGAGGGCCACCAAAACCCUGAUUGGAUCACUUUCAUAGCUGUUUUCUGGGAGGCAAAAUGACUUCCACAUGCACUAUCAUGGCAAUGGGAAAGAAUUCCUGAUUGCUCUUGUUCAGGAACACAUUUCCUUAUGAUUUGAUCCGCACAAUAUUUGAAGAGAAAAGGCUCCUUCCAAUAAUAGGCAUGGAUCUUAGCAAAGAAAUGCCUCUUGUCUUGGGCACUCCACUCGCUUGGAACUUCCCCAGUAACCAAGUAAUUUGCAAUGUGAGAAUACCAAGGAGCUACAUCUAUUGACAUGAGAGACUCCUCAGGGAAGUCAUCAUUGAUAGGCAGACCAUGUGAGUCAUGUGCUAUCACAAGUCUUGACAAAUGGUCAGCUACCACAUUUUCUACUCCCUUUUUAUCCCGGAUUUGGAGAUUGAAUUCUUGGAGCAAAAGGAUCCAUCUUAUCAAUCUUACCUUGGCAUCUUGCUUGGUUAGCAAGUACUUCAAAGCGGAAUGGUCAGUGAACACCACUAUAGAGGACCCUACUAAAUAGGCACGAAACUUAUCCAAGGCAAAAACUACUGCCAACAACUCCUUCUCAGUAGUUGUGUAGUUCCUUUGAGCCUCGUUCAAAGUUUUGCUCGUGUAAUAAAUCACAUAAGGCUUUCCAUCCUCUCUUUGCCCCAAAACAGCCCCCAUAGCAAGAUCACUUGCAUCACACAUUACCUCAAAAGGUAAUUUCCAAUUUGGGGCUCUCACUAUUGGUGCAGUUGUGAGGAAUUGCUUCAAUUCCUCAAAACUCUUCUGACACUUCUCAUCCCACACAAACUUGGCAUCCUUUACCAAGAGUUCACAAAGAGGCUUUGAGAUUUUUGAGAAAUCCUUAAUGAACCUCCUAUAGAACCUGGCAUGUCCUAGGAAUUGCCUAAUUCCUUUAACAUUUGUGGGAGGUGGCAACUUAACAAUUAGCUCCACCUUUGCCUUGUCUACCUCAAUGCCAUUUUUGGAGAUUACAUGUCCUAAGACAAUGCCUUGUUGUACCAUAAAAUGGCACUUCUCCCAAUUUAGCACUAGGUCUUUCUCAAUACAUCUGUGGAGAACAGCUUCUAAGUGCAACAAACACUCCUUAAAAGAACUUCCAUAUACAGUGAUGUCAUCCAUGAAGACUUUCAUGAUGCGUUCCACCAUAUCACUGAAGAUGCUUAGCAUACAUCUUUGGAAAGUUGUAGGAGCAUUACAUAAACCAAAGGGCAUUCUCCUAUACGCAAAAGUACCAAAGGGGCAUGUGAAGGUUGUUUUUUCUUGAUCUUCCAAAUAAAUCUCUAUUUGGAAGUACCCCGAGUAACCAUCUAGAAAACAGUAGAAAGGAUGUCUUGAGACUCUCUCAAGGACUUGGUCCAUGAAAGGCAAUGGGAAAUGGUCCUUCCUAGUCACUGAAUUCAACCUCCUGUAGUCUAUACACACCCUCCAUCCUGAGGUAGGACGUGUAGAGACUUCCUCCCCUUUCUCAUUCUGGAUCACAGUGAUUCCAGAUUUCUUUAGAACUACUUGGGUGGGGCUCACCCACAAGCUAUCUGAAAUGGGAUAUAUGAUCCCUGCUUGUAGUAGCUUCAGAACUUCACCCCUCACCACCUCUUGCAUGUGAGGAUUCAACCUCCUCUAGGGCUGCCUCACUGGUUUUGCAUCUUCCUCCAUGUAGAUAUGGUGGGUGCACACCAAAGGACUAAUCCCUUUAAGAUCAGAAAUUUUCCAUCCAAUGGCUUUCUUGCAUUUUCUGAGGACUCCCAAAAGACUAUCCUCUUGAUCACUUGUGAGAUUUGAAGAGACCACCACUGGACAUUUCUCAUCUUCCUCCAAGUAUGCAUACUUCAAAUUAACAGGAAGUGGCUUCAAAACAAGCUUUAGAGGGUCCUCCAUAGCUGCUCCUUGUGAGUCCUCCUUAUUGAACAGUGGUAAGAUCUCUUCCCGUCUCCUCCAAGGAGACAUGAUAGCUAGCACAUCAGAGGGUUCAGGUAACCCUUCUUCAAACACUUCAAGGUUUUCAUUCAAGCUCUCUUCUAAGCUCUUGUCACAAUGCUCUUCAACCAAGGUGUUGAUCAGGCACACCUCCUCCAAUCCUUCAUCCUCAUCUGGGUGAAGAUGCCUCUUGCAAAGAUGGAAUAUGUUUAAUUCCAAGGUCAUGUUUCCAAAUGUGAGUUGCAUCACCCCAUUUCUACAAUUGAUGAUGGCAUUGGAGGUAGCCAGGAAAGGUCUCCCAAGGAUGAUUGGCACGUAAUUGGCUUCCUUAACAGUGGGAUCAGUAUCAAGCACAACAAAAUCCACGGGAUAGUAGAAUUUGUCCACUUGAACUAGAACAUCCUCUAUCACCCCCCUUGGGAUUUUGACAGACCUAUCAGCUAAGGAGAGAGUGAUGGUUGUGGGCUUCAAUCCUCCAAGUCCCAGUUGCUUGUACACAGAGUAUGGGAGCAAAUUCACACUUGCCCCCAAGUCUAGUAAAGCUUUCUCCACAAGUGUCCCUCCAAUGUUGACUGCAAUGGUGGGGCAACCCGGAUCUUUAUACUUAACUGGAGACUUACUCUGAAUGAUAGCACUUACUUGCUCAGUGAGGAAUGCAUUCUUUGUCACAUGUAGCCCUCUCUUAACCGUGCACAAGUCCUUUAGAAACUUUGCAUAUGUGGGGACUUGCUUGAUCAUAUCAAGUAAGGGUAUAUUCACCUUCACUUGUCUCAAGACUUCAAGAAUUUCUGAUGAAUUCUUGAUUUCCUUUUUUCCAUGUAAAGCUUGAGGAAAAGGGGGAGGCAUAUGUUUCUUCAUCAUAUCUUCUUUAAUCACUAUCUCGGCUCUUCUUCAAUGCUUGAUUUGGAUGCACUUUUCUUCCCACUCUCCUCUUCUUGGUUAUUGCUCUCUUUAACCAAGGUUUUCUUUGACAAGAGUUCUUCAUCUUGCCUCACCUUAGGCAAGGGUUGAUCAACCUCCUUUCCACUCCUCAAGGUGAUCAUAGCUUUGACCUCCCUCAACUUUGAAGAAUCCCCCUCUUGGGUUUCAACUUCAUGAACACCCUUAGGAUUUUGGCUUGGUUGAGAGGGGAACUUUCCUUUCUCAUUCACUGUGUUGAGGUUGGUAAGCCUAGAGAUAGAGUAUUGAAUAUUAUCUAUCUUCUGAUAUAGAUCAUUUUGCAUCCCAUCCAUUCUCUUAUUUAGAGAACUCUCAACAUUCUCAAUCUUUUGGUGCAAUUGGGAGUUGAUUGCCCUUUGUUCACCCACAAAGUCAUUCAUGACUUUACUUAGGUUCGCAAUGGCUUGCUCCACUGAAGAGGUUUGUUGAGGUGCUUGAGUUUGGGCUUGUGGUUGGUAUAGAGGUGGUCUUGGUUUCCAAGAAAAAUUUGGAUGGUUUCUCUAGCUUGAAUUAUAGGUGUUUCCAUAAGGUGCAUUGUUGUUAGGCCUAAAUUGCCCCACAACAUUGGCUUGAUCACCUAACAUCUCCCUCACAGCUGGCAUGGUUGGGCACUCAUCUACCACAUGAUCACAUGAUUGGCAAAUGGUGCAUGGCAUGGCAUGGGCUUGAGUCUCGGAAAUGGCUUGGACUUCAUGCAUCUUUUUCAACUCAAGUUCUUCCAACCUCCUUGCUAUUGUUGCCACCUUAGCUUUCAUGUCCAUGUCUUCACUUAACAUGUACAUUCCACCCUUUGGAUUUACAGGAGCUUUCAUCCUUCCCAAUUCCUUUGAGUUGGGCUCAUCCCAUCCUCUUGUUACCUCAGAUACAUAACUUAAAAAAUCCAUGGCUUCUUCCGGAUUCUUACUCAUAAAAUCUCCCCCACACAUGGUUUCAAGAAUUUGCUUCAUGGAGGAAGACAUCCCAUCAUAGAAAUAGCUCACCAAGAGCCAUGUAUCAAAGCCAUGAUGAGGACAAGCAUUGAUGGCCUCCAUAUACCUUUCCCAACAUUCAUGGAACUUCUCAUUUUCUUUUGUAGAAAAUUUUGAGAUUUGUCUCUUCAACCCAUUGGUCCUAUGGGUGGGGAAAAAUUUCUUCAAAAACUCGGCCUGAAGAUCAACCCAAUUCCUUAUGCUCCUUGGCCUUAAAGAAUUAAGCCAUAUUUUUGCCUUGUCCUUCAAAGUGAAAGGGAAUAGCUUGAGUCUCAUCAAGUCUAUUGAAGCUCCUCCCUCUCUAAAGGUAUUGCACACCUCCUCAAACUCCUUGAUGUGGGCAUAUGGAUUCUCACUCUCCAUUCCAUGGAAAUUUGGUAGAAGGGGCACAAUAUGGGGCCUUAUAAUCAGCUGCUCAAGAGGAGGUAUGAUGCAUGAGGGUGCACUCAUCCUUGGUGGGUGCAUUCUAUCCCUCAUGGAUAGAUAUGCAUUUGGAUUACCCCCUUGACCUUGUUGAGAAUUCUGAUCCUCUUGUGGAGGGUCCAUGAUGUUUACACAGAUAUCCAACUCUGUGUCUUGAGGAUUCUCAAUCCUUACUAAUCUUCCCUCUUGGUCCUGAAUCCAAUAGGGCAUGCACAAAUCACUACUUGCCUGAAAACAAAACAAAGACAACAAAAACAAAAGAAAACUAGAAGAAAGUUAAAGUUAGAAAGAAAACAAAAGAAAUUCUACAAUAAAAAAAAAAGGAAAUAAAGUUAGUGAAAAAGGAAUUCACCAAACUUGUGAUGAAAAUCACAAGUAGCCUCUAAAAGGUUGUAUCACUGUAUCGUGGCACCAUCCCCGGCAGCGGCGCCAUUUUGAUUCGCGUAUGUAAAUCUAGUCGGGUCAUUUAAUCAAAAACAUUUAUAAAACCUAUGACCUCAUACUAGUGUAGCAAAGCUACUAUAGUAUAGUGGCUCUAGGGUCGAACUCUGGGAUGGGUUUUCAUUCUACCAGUGAUAUACUCAUGAUUAGGAAUUGAAUUUAAUGAUUUCCUUUAUAAAAAACUUAGAGUUUAAAAGAAAAUAAAAUUUGUUUUGAAAGUGUUUGAAACUAAAUUAACAUAAACUAAUUAAAAAUGGAAGAAAGAAAGUCUCCCGGAGCUCAGGAUUGCUAGGAUCAAGUUUAGAAUGCAAAGUGGAAAAUUCCAGAUUUUUCUCCUCGCAUUGGGGAUUUAAUCUAUAGUUAUUUCCCGAACCGGUAUAGGUUUAACAAUGAAGAUUUAAUCCAUAAAAAUCAAUAGAAAUGGUAGUCAAGGUCCAUUAAUGGCUUUAGACACUAUGGGUCUUCACAUUGAACCACUUUCCAAUGGCUCGUACAUGAUAACUAAUGGACUGAUAUGGAUCUAGCAAUAAGCAUCCACAGAGACCUGAAGCUUACCAUGUAUUGGCCAUUCAAAGUGAUUCUAAGGGAUUUAAAGCAAAACUUUGGAUUUAAAAGCCAUUUAUGAACUUCAACUACCUGUAUUUAAGGCACGAGCGUUUUCCACCUUGCAUCUGGACUUUUCACCUAACUUCCAUCACUCCAAGAAACCAAAAGUUUAGCCUCUCAUCCUCUGAGAAAACAUCCUCAGAGGUUGUUUGGCUUCCAAGAAAAAGAAAAUAGUAAAGAGAAAAGGGAAAACGAGAGAGCUCUGUAUAUUUUUCUAAGUGUAAAACAUAACACGCGUGAUACCUCCAAGAGGUGAUUUCCACCCCUUAUAUAGUUUUUACAAAAGCAAAGCUUGUGAUUGGCUUGUUACAAGGAGAAGAAAGGAAAUUACAUCAAAAAACACAAAAGAAAAUAUCUAAAGUGGAGUCGGCAAAAACAGAGGAAAAUUCGCACCACGCAUGGGGUGUGCGAAUUUUCGCACCACGCAUGGGGUGUGCGAAUUUUCGCACACCUGAGGGGGGUGUGUGAGUUUCGCACACCAUUCGCACACCAUUCGCACAGCUAAGGGGGUGUGCGAAUUUCGCACACCAUUCGCCCACCAUUCGCACACCUGGAGCAGUUUUCUUCCGAAGGUCAUAUCUUCCUCGUUUCAGCUCCAAAUCGUACACGGUUUGAAGCAUUGGAUUCUUGACUUCCUGAGAUUUGAAAUGGUAUAUAGAAUGUAAAAAAUAAACUUCGGGAAGUGCUCCAAAAGUGCCAAAUAAGACUGCAGCUGCUGUCCUCUAUUUUCCUCCUUGCUUCUCUUUGCUUCUCUUUGGUUUUCUUUGCUUUUCUCCUUUGGAUGGCUUGUCUUAAUGAUCUAAAAAGAUGUCAAAAACACUAAAACUAGCCACAAAUAUGAUUAGGAGUCAUUGCUAGGUCCUUAACAUGCCAAUUGGAAUAAAGAUGAAGAAUUACUAACCAAAAGUGCUUAAAACAUAAUGACUUAAAGGUGUAAAAUAGCACUUUUUGGGUAGUAAUCAUUUACAAAUUAAUUGGAGCAAUGGAAUUGGAACAGGACACAAACUUCAAAACAUUAAAAAUCAGUAAUGCAGAUAAGGGCAUUUAUAUGUACACAUAUUGAUCAGAAAAUGAACUUCAUCCUUUACCAACCUAAAAACUCAAAAGAAAGAAGUAUAAUUUCAGAUAUGCAAGAUUUUGAUCUAUUAAAGCCCAAAUCAUUUUAUGUUCAUAGAAAUGAGAAGACAAAAUGGCAGCCGACUUUUAGGAUUGAAAGAAAAAUGAAUUGAUGCUACUUCCCAAUGCUAAUGCCAUUAAUUUGUUAUUACUCUUUGUGGCCAUGUCGAGUCUGUCUAUCAAAUAAGAUAAUCCCUUCUUUUUUUCUUCUUUUUUUCUUUACAUAGUCAAUCAUCUUGUUUCAUGUUUGCCCUAUAGUUGGUCUGCUGAUGAUAGGCUUUUUUUUAGUGGAAGCAAGUACUCUAUACUGAAGGUAAAUUAUGGGAACUAUGUCUUUUUGUGGUAUCGACGGGGUUAUCAUAUAGCUGAAUGAUUCUAUACUUCCUUAUAGCUUUUCAAGGCAUUAAAAAAGAAAAGAACAAAGGUAGAACUAGGAAAAAUAUUUCUUUUUGAUUUCAAGUAUACUCUUUCCUUAUGAAGUUUUAUUUUGGUAAAUUACAGUUAGAUAUAAUCACAUGGCAAUAUUUUUUUCUUCCAAGUUUAAACAGUAAUUCAAGAGAGUGUAUUAUGAAAAUAUACUAAAAUAAAAAAAUCCCAUGAAUGCAUUCUACUUUGGAUAUUUCUUAUGAAUCUUCCCCUAUACUCCUGGCCAUCACAUACACUCCCAUCACACCAAUCCUUGUAGUUGUUCUAAAUUGUUUCAAAUCUGUCAUAAACCGAUUACUAAUAUUAAGGACUGCCAUGUCUACUAAUUUGGGGCUAGAAUUUUUAGAGCAUGUGGGAAAUUCUGGUUAUAGUGGGAAAUGUGAGUGCUACUGUUUUGCCAAAGUGGCUUUCCUUAUUCAUGCUAACAUCAACAACAUAGCAAUGAACUUGAUUUAAUAUUAUUUAUCAUAUAAGCUUGAGAUAUCUGGACACAAAAGUUAAAACAAGAUCUUCGAGGCUUUGAAGAUGAGGUAUUUUCCUCCUCUUAAGUACUAGUUAAUAUUCUUCUUUUGACAUUGUACUUGGUUUAAUUAAUGUUUUCCUUUUUUUUCGUAUUCUAGAAAGGUUUUUGUUGUUGAUUUGAGUCCAUAUGGUGAGAAGGUAGUCUCCGAUGGUACGAAACAGAGUACUCAAUUUAUGGAUGGCUUGAUGGCUGAAAAAGGAAGAGAUAUAUGAAAUGAAGAUUGACAUGAUUCUUCCACAACAUGAUGGACUUGGUAGGCACUCAAUUUUUGCCUACAGCUAAUAGUCUACCAUAUGUGUAACUUAAAGGUUGUGCACUAAGUUAUUAUGUUAUGAAGAAUCAAGGGUGGUUUGUGCACUAAGCUCUUCUAAAAUGUUUUUCUUUAUUGAGCUGUAAUGAUUGUAUUAUUUGGAUUUAAUUGUAUUCAUUAGGUUUGCACAUCACGAUAUAAUUAUUUUCCUCUUUGAUCAUGUAAAGUUGGGAAACAGUUAUGGGUUAUUGUAAUAGCGUGGUAUAUUGAUGCACACAGUUUGUGGCAUAACAGUUUGAUGAAAUAACAGAAGUGUAGCACUCAUGGGCAUAUCAUGUGAACCUUAUUCAAUGUGGCAUUGACAGUUAGCUUAAAUUUACAUGGGUGUAAUGUCGCACCAGUAUCUUCUAAUGAACCUUGGAUUCUUUUUUCUCCAUUUCUUCCUCUCUUGGUCAAACCAAACAAUUUAUCUUCAUGACUUCCUCAUGUUACCAAAAAACAACAUCUUGUGUUCUCCAUCUCUUUAUCCUCUUAUCAAGACAUAGCAAUCUAAUGCAUCUUUGCAUUGGGUUGCUUCCUCUCCUUCCCUUCUCCUUCCUCCUUAUAUCAUUGCUUAGUUUUGGCUACUCUAUUUCUUUGAUCGUUAUGGUAGAGCAUCAUUGCAAGAUGUACAAGAAAUGUGUUGUGGUGCAUUAUCCCCUUCUCUACCACCCGAAAUAUGUUUUCCAUGAUCAUUAAUACCAAGACGUUUAAGCAUCAAGUAAGGCAUCUCUUGACAAUUAUGUGAAAGAUAAGAGAUAAGCAACAUACUGGUAUUCAAGAGAAGUGAUGUUCUACAUUUGCAGUUGACAACGUGCAUUUAGUCUGAACUCCAAAUUUGGGCAACUCAGAAUCUCCACCUUCAUUAGGAUUGCAGAAAGUUGGCUUCUUGGAAAGAUGUGGAAAUGGGGCAUUUAGAAAUCAGAAAGAAUCCCAGUGGCCUGUUGCUACUUUCGAAUCAUUCCAAUCAACAACAACUCUAAAGAUAUAUAUACAAAUCUGUCCCUGGGAAAGAGAUCCAUGUUUCUUAGGCAUGCAACCAUCUCUCUUAACAGACUUAGGGUUCUACACCCUCUUGGUGUUUCUUAUAUAUUGCACCAUCUGAUUUGUAGAUAUCCAAUUGCCAAUUUCACUACACCUGAUGAACUAGAAGCUAUGCUAAAAGUGAAGUUAAACAACCCAUCGUAGAAAGAAUCCUAUAGGAAUACACUAAAAAGAAUAUCUUAUUAACAUAAAUGAACUCAUCCAAUUAAAGGAUAAAGUUGCAUGAAAAUUGAAUUGGGAGAGAUACAAAUACUGAUGCUUAUGUAGGACUAUGGAAAGGAUCAAAAAGAGGAACAAACAUUGAAUAGUAAAUGUAAAGUCAUAAAGCUUCUAACAUCUGUCAAAAGCUACUCUGUAGUGAAGUUUUUUUAACGAUAAAGGUAACUGAAAAAUUCACCAAAUAGCUCCACUUGAAGGAAAUUUCAGUGGUAUGAAACUAGGAUAUGGUGAACUCUCCUUGCUUAUACUAUUGUUGUGAGCCAUUAUAGAUCAAAGAUGAAUCUCACCAUAUGUUUUCACACAGAAGAUGUGGGCUAUCUUUGGGUCAUCUCUCAUCAUUGGAUUUAGGAGUUUGGUCUCUCAUAUAUAGUUUCACUUGCCAACUACAAAUGGAGCUUAGUAGAUGUCUCCAUGAUGUGGAGACUGAGCAACAUACAUAAUUCAAGGGAUGUGCAGUUGUUCUUGUGAAUCACCCAAUCUUCAUCUAAUAUAUAUAGACGCAUAAAUUUUAGCAACUUAUAAUCUCCAUAUUUUAGAGCACUGGAGGAAGCUAGCCUAUUCAACAAACAUAACAUAAUUAGAAAAAUGCAAGAAUUCCAGAGACAUGUUGUGCUAUCAUGUAUUCCAAUCAGUAAGGAAUCAAAGUGCUAUAAUUUUAAACUGUGCAAUAACAGACCUAUCUUAGGGAAGUAAAUUGUCUUGAGCACCAAAUCAAUUG
rnacentral:lncRNA from 1 species